UAGCUCAGUGGUACAGCACUUGCCUAGCACGCAUGAGGCCCUAGGUUCUAUCCCUAG
rnacentral:tRNA from 1 species